AUCCAGCUGACGAGUCCCAAAUACGACGGAACGCCCGUCCUAGAU
rfam:Schistosoma curassoni strain Dakar, Senegal genome assembly, scaffold: SCTD_contig0000008